rnacentral:pre_miRNA from 7 species
CUUCGGGGUUCCUGGGUGUCACGCAGAUCUCGGUGGGACCUCCAAAUGAAAGAACUCAGUGGGGAAACCCAGGUUUCAAAGCUCACAAACAACUCUUUGGGCU